GGUGCGGAGACGACAGGCUGUACGCAUUAAAUCCAGUUGACUUCCUCACACGUUCCAAAUAAUCCUCAUCUCCUCUUUCCCUUCGUCCCCAAAGCCAGUAACCUGGAGGCGGUGGUGCUGCUCAUCGUACGGCGCACGCCCGGCUCCAGCGCCCCCAACCUUCAUCGGCGACUCACUUGCCGGCCCCGGCGCGCGAGACGUCCGUCAAGGACGACCCGCAACUAUGCGCCCAGUCCCGGAGCUGCUACUGCCGACGCCACCAAGCGGCGUGGCUCCGAUGGCGGCGGCUGUCGCGUCUGCGCCUGAGAGGCUGAGACCAGGCGAGCUUGAGCCCGCCCCACCGCGCCGGAGUGUAGCACGCUAGCACGGGAAGGAGAAAUCGAUGUGCAUGCCUGACAAAGUGACGCGGGGAGUGCGGGGAGUGCGGGAGGAGGAAACGUGGCCACGUGGGAAAUCAGAACUUUCUGUUUUGGGAGCGUGUGGGUUUGUUUGACUAAUAUUUUUCUAUAUUUAGCUGGGUCACCCCUAAGACUAACCAGUGCUAUAGCACUAUGUAGCAGGGUCCAUAUAUAUUGGUAACUUCUCACGUCAAUUUGGUCAAAUAACACAUUAUAUUGUAUGAACUAUUUUUUACCGUCGACCCUAAUUGACUGAAAUAGUCAACGACUGAUUCUAGCUUUUGUAGAUAUACCUUUUGCAAAUCACUGAAAGAAUUUA